rnacentral:rRNA from 1 species
AGCUAAUACAUGCUGAAAACCUCGACUUCGGAAGGGGUGUAUUUAUUAGAUAAAAAACCAAUGCCCUUCGGGGCUCCUUGGUGAAUCAUAAUAACUUAACGAAUCGCAUGGCCUUGCGCCGGCGAUGGUUCAUUCAAAUUUCUGCCCUAUCAACUUUCGAUGGUAGGAUAGUGGCCUACCAUGGUGGCAACGGGUAACGGGGAAUUAGGGUUCGAUUCCGGAGAGGGAGCCUGAGAAACGGCUACCACAUCCAAGGAAGGCAGCAGGCGCGCAAAUUACCCAAUCCCGACACGGGGAGGUAGUGACAAUAAAUACUGAUACGGGGCUCUUUUGGGUCUCGUAAUUGGAAUGAGUACAAUCUAAAUCCCUUAACGAGGAACAAUUGGAGGGCAAGUCUGGUGCCAGCAGCCGCGGUAAUUCCAGCUCCAAUAGCGUAUAUUAAAGUUGUUGCAGUUAAAAAGCUCGUAGUUGAACCUUGGGUCUGGCUGGCCGGUCCGCCUCACCGCGAGUACUGGUCCGGCUGGACCUUUCCUUCUGGGGAAUCUCAUGGCCUUCACUGGCUGUGGGGGGAACCAGGACUUUUACUGUGAAAAAAUUAGAGUGUUCAAAG